rnacentral:lncRNA from 1 species
CUCCUUUUGCUUGAUCUUGAUUUAUUUCACAGUUGUUGUUGAGUGAUAUAUGCCUUCAAUGGUGGCACAUGUCCAAUAUUAUUAUUGAAAAGCUUUUUGCCGACAAUACUAGGAUUCUUAGUACGAUGAGUAUCUGCAUCUCUUUGUACUGUAACAAUACUUCCAGGCUGAGUCUACAAACAAUAAUUUUUUUAUUUUUUUUAGGUACAGGUCAUGGUAUAUAUCUCAAGAUUACUUGGAACUUGGUGCAAUAGUGUCACUACGUGCUCUAAGACAUUGUCUUGUUCAUGUUCACCAGUCUCAUCGCCGUCUUGUAUGGCUGGUGCAGCUUGUGUAUUGUCAUUGUUUCAUGGUGUACUCUAAACAACAAAUAUCAAAGUAAAAGAUUAGUCAUCAUAAUCAUAAGUUUAGCAAGAGGAUGAAUGAUUAAAAAAUUAGAAAUAUUACUUCAUUCAGAGUUCCUUCUUUGUGUUGUGCCAUCAUUUUAAGAAAGUCUUGCUUUAUUUCUUCUCUUAUUUGUUUUUUCUUCUUCCAGCUCCUCUUGCAUCUUCCUCAUUUCUUCUCUCUCCCUCUCCCUCUCUGUAGCGUCGUGUGCAAUCUGUUCUUUGAGGUUCUCAACCUAUACUUUAAAAGCAAUGCUCUUCUCUCUGGCUGCAGCUUCAACACGUGCAUGAACUUCAAGGUUCUCUUUCAUAAGUUCUUUACGAGUUCAAUACUUAGACAAAUAUCCAUGACCAUGUAAUUUGGAUGAUUUGACUGUUGUGACUUCUUUGUAUCAUGACUAGCAAAUCAUGUUCUCCUCAACACAUUAUAGUGGCUGUGUAUC